CAAGAGACGCCGGCGUGGAGACCCGAUGGCUGCGGAGGCUGGCCCUUCCCUUCCUCAGCCGGCGCGCGAGUUAUACGUCACCGCCCGGGGGCACCUUUUAGGCGCCUGCAAAUGGCAAUAACGGAGGACGCGCUCCGUCCUCCGUUACGUGGGACGUCACGUGACCCUUCUGCGACGAGCUUAAGGAAGGAAGCCGCAGGAGGAGGCUCUCAGAGCAGAGAGAAAGAAAAGUUGUGUCAAGCAGGGAGCAGCCGAGGUUUCACUACAGCCUGGAGUGCCGCUGUGACAACCAUUUUGAACAGCUACACAGCUUUUCCCAUCUCUCCUGCUACAGCUAUGGCUCCACAGUGUAUGGAUAUGGGCCCAGUCCUCUAUGUGAGUCUGAGAAUCCUGAACCGAUAGCUGGACUAGAGGAUCUCCUCUCGGUGUUGAUACUAAGGAUGAGGAUGUAAGCUCAGCUGUCUUCUCACUUAAGGGCACCAAUGCCCUCAGACUGGGAUCCUGCCCUUUGAUUCCCUCCAACACUGAGACGUCCCUAGAGGCCCAGCUCCAAAGACUAUCAGAGUGAGUGCUAAGACUUCAGUAUAUGAAACUCCGGGAGGGACACAGCAUUCAGUCCCAGACAGCGUUACCAAGGAAUAGGAGCCCAUGGGAGGCAAAUUAUAGUCUUGGAUACAUUUAGACUUGCAAAAAUUAUAGAGGAGAGCCACAGGCAUCUUUAGUUAUAUUUGGUUCAAUGAGGAAAAAAUGCACUAGCAUUAAAAACAAAAAAAUAAAACCGUGACCUUGGCGCUUUGGGACUCCCA
rnacentral:lncRNA from 1 species